GCACUCCCUUGGAAGCUUCCAUUCUCCUUCCUGUGCCGCUUGCUUCCUGGGAUCCCUGGGCAGCUCUUAUCCUGGGAUUUCUGUUUGCUAUAAUUCUUGGAAUUCCCCUUAUCUUUGUCCUGUGCUGUAUUUGUUUUUCUGGAUCUCAUGCCUUUCUUUCUUGUUGUACAGGGUGUUGGCCAGUAUGCAUUCUCGUGUGGCGCAUGGUGUUCUCUUCCAAGCUCACAUGCUUGCUGGAAGAAUUCAGUUCCGUCAUAUCUUAGGACAAGGCCCAGCCUGGAUACCUCUCCACUUGCAGGGGGACAACAAUGAAGAGAAUCCAGAAUCCAGUAUUUGGCCCUGUCUUUGCCCUCUGGGAUAUUGCAGGUGCUGAGAGGACUUCAGCCGCUGCAGGUCCUGGGGAAAAAAAAUCCAACUGUAGAAAUAAAACAGCAAUUGAAGAGCAUGGAGACAGAGAAGAGGUAUCCUGGAGGUUCUCACCCAGUAUGGUAAAGGGCCUUGCAGGGGGACAAACAGGACGAUGGGAAACUCAGGAGAAGGUGAUAUUCAGAAGCCCAGACAACACAGAGGGGAAGCCUGAUAUUCACAAUAGCUACAGUCUAAUAACAGCUAACACCUAAUGAGUCCUUCAGUGACAGGCAUUGUAUUGAUAUGCACUUUCCAUCCCUAUGUAUUUACUCCUCACUAUAAGCCUAGGAAGUAGCUAGCAUUACAGUCUCCAUUCCCAAAUGAGGAAGCUGUGGUCCAGAGAAGUGAAGUAACUUGCUCAACAUCACAGAGCUCCGUUAAAUAAAGUUUAUGGGAGGCCAUUGUUUUGGACUGAAUUCCUGCACUAGGUCCCAGCAGACCUACCCAAAAUAGAGUUACUCAUACUACGAUUCCACAUCACCAAACCAAAUGCUAAGCUGUUUACCUGUAAAGUCUGAUCUUUUCAGAAAUCAGGAGAGAUAUGAUAGCCAAAUCUCACUAAGCCAACAAGACUCUCUGUAAGG
rnacentral:lncRNA from 1 species